rnacentral:lncRNA from 1 species
UGAAUAAGCUGUUUCUAGGGCUCCAUCAAUUCUAAUUUCAAUUUGGGACUCAUCAAUUCUUCUUGAAAUUACGUACCAAGUACCUUGUCAUCCACAAAAGAAGCCAAAAAUCCUCAUUCUGCAGGUGCGUAGCCGUGAAAUUAAUCUCCAAAACCAAAUUAGUUCUUCAAUUCUUUUCCUUUUUGGAAGCCAGUAGUCAUUAAUUCGCGAAUAAAUUUUAUUCAAUUAACUUCAUCAAUCAGUUACAUGGAAAAGCAUACUUAUCUUACAUUUACCAAGCUUUGACCUUUUGCCAUCGAUUCUUCAUACUGUUUGAUGAAAUGCCUCACUAGAAAUAUUUAAUUUUGUUUACUCCAUUUUCUGUCUUUUUAUGUUCUGUUACAGGUAAUUCAUACUAUUUAUGAAUGACGUUCUUCAUGGUGCAGGCAUUGCCUACUUCAGUAUUUUAAUACAGGACCAAAUGGCAUUUAUCAAGAAACUUAGUCAUCGGACCACAAGUUAUUCGUCUUGUAUUUUGUUUAGCUUCAUUGAUAAAAUUUCAAAAUGUCCUCGUGACACUGCCUGGAGCCUUGAGCCUUUCACUCACGUUAACUGCCAAAGCAGUGUCUCAAAAUUUCAGCAUGAAUUUAAAUGUUCUAAACACUGUUUUUCGACUAUGGCUCGCACGAUUUUGGUGCAGGCUCGAG